GACAGAGGGUGCAAACGUUGUUCGGAAUUACUGGGCGUAAAGCGAGUGUAGGCGGUCUCAUAAGUCAGGUGUGAAAGCCCCGGGCUCAACCCGGGAAGUGCACUUGAAACUGCGAGGCUAGAGUAUCGGAGAGGUUGGUGGAAUUCUCGGUGUAGAGGUGAAAUUCGUAGAUAUCGAGAGGAACACCGGUGGCGAAGGCGGCCAACUGGACGAAUACUGACGCUGAGACGCGAAAGCGUGGGUAGCAAACAGG
rnacentral:rRNA from 1 species